CCCUUAGAUGUCCUGGGCUGCACGCGCGCUACACUGAUGCAUCCAACAAGUAUUCCUGUCCUGAAAAGGUUGGGUAAUCUCUAAAAAUGCAUCGUGAUGGGGAUAGAUUAUUGCAAUUAUUAAUCUUCAACGAGGAACUCCUAGUAAGUGCAAGUCAUCAGCUUGCGCUGAUUACGUCCCUGCCUAUUGUACACACCGCCCGUCGCUCCUACCGAUUGGGUGAUCCGGUGAAUAUUUCGGACUGCGUCUUCCUUCGGGUUGCUGCGGGAAGUUUUGUAAACCUUAUCACUUAGAGGAAGGAGAAGUCGUAACA
rnacentral:rRNA from 1 species